GGAGUCUGCAGCAACAAGGCAUCCCGAUUGGGGAUAUCCCCCCCGAUGUGAUAGGGCAGACCGCAGUUGGCAAAGCUGACAAACUCGCCCCGUUCGAACAUCACGAUCUCCGCCUCUUCGCUCAGCCGGCGUGCUCUGGCAGCCGCCGAUGCGCCCCCUGCAACCCCAC
rnacentral:antisense_RNA from 1 species